UAUUACCACUGAUACAAAUGCAAAAAUCUGCAGUGUGCAUAUAUAUGUAUUACUGAGCAGUUCUGUAGCUUCUGGAUUAUAUAGGGAGUUGGAGGGGGCUGUAAUGUGAUAUUAGUUCUUUAUUUUGUGAAUUAGCUACUGGUCUGGCUGAACCAUGCUCUUUAUUUAGAGGAUCAUAGGCAGCUUUUUCUCUGGAGUCUUCUACCUAUGUCACAGAUGGAGCCAGAAUUGAGCAGAACAGGGAGAGACUCGGCGCAGCUUCCUAGUGAGCCUCUGGUUAGUAAGUAGGGACCAGAAUGGUGAAUCAAAAGGAAUUAAAAAAGUGCAUGUUUAACCCACACAGAUCCACAGGCCAAGUGCUUAUAUAUAGACUGGAGAACCCCAAGGUGACAUCCUCAUCUAUUACAACAAGGGUUGGAAUGCAAGUAACAAUAACAAUUUGGACUGGGUGUAACUGAAGGUCUCGCUCUGAGCACCAGCGAACGGAUCUGCCUUUUGCAGCUACUGCACUUCGC